rfam:Trichobilharzia regenti genome assembly, scaffold: TRE_scaffold0027878
UUCCAGUUGAUGAGUCCCGGAUAGGACGAAAUGCGCAUCCUGGAU